rnacentral:lncRNA from 1 species
UGCGCAAUCCUUUUGCGGUGAACGUGCAACCCCGUUGUGUUCCACGCCUCUGUUGUUACGGGCCUCACUGUAUCGUGACGUGACGCCAUCGCUAUCGUGGUAUCUUUUGUUCUUAGUGAUAAUUAUCUGUUUUGUGUUUGAUGUUAUACUACGUAUUCUUGAUAAGGACAGACGGAGGGCUGUUUUGUCUUUUAAGAAUUUGAUGAAGAAAGAUUUGUUCGAUCGCUUUACUGCCACGCUCUUUUUAAGGGAGAGUUGUAGUAUGAUGUGUAUAACUUACUUUCCAGGUUUUGUAUCACCGCAAUUUCGGUUCUUGUUCUUGAAGUUUGCUUGCUGUCGUUGUGUUGUCUUUCUCAGGGUACAGGCUUUUAAAGCGGCGAAUAAUACUUUUUGGUUUGUCAAGAACCAUGUACGUGUUACAGGGACGCGUGUGAUUGGAAUUUUGUUUGUUCUCAAAUGUGCCAUGAUUCGUUUCCAAGUAAUUCCCCGAGGGAAAGUGAACUGAGCAGAAUAUUUAAUUAACGCAUGCAACUGGCAUUUUUGCGGGCCUACACACAAGCAGUAUGAACAAGCCCCACGCAAGAAAUUCGGCGCCGAAUAUUUGUUCGUUUGCUGGGCUCCGAGCUCGUAUUUGUUGUUCAAGUCUCCUUUAUUUCUUUGGGCUCGUAGGUGAAGCCAGCACUUGGACCGAAAACGUAUGUAAAAUGGUUAAAUUCUAGAACAAUAAAUGAAUUCAGACUUAAGACUGAAUGUCAA